CAUAGGUUUGGUCCCAGCCUUCCUGUUAACUCUCAACAGACUUACACAUGCAAGCAUCCACGCCCCGGUGAGUAACGCCCUCC
rnacentral:rRNA from 1 species